GCCAGCAAGGCGUAGUGGCUUGAGUGUUAGACUGCAACUCUCAAGACCAGGGUUCGAUUCCUGCUCGGCC